rfam:Snodgrassella alvi SCGC AB-598-O02 SCG598O02_11502, whole genome shotgun sequence.
CAUGAGUGAUUUGUUGUGGUGAAAUAAAGUGAAUAUGGGUAUCUAUCCCGCCUGCGGUCGCAAUUAAGUUGGCACCAUUAUGUACUUCAGUAGCAGCACCAAUAAUCAUAUUAGGAUGCACUCCGUCCAUGGUAUCCGGAUUACCUGAUUGACCAACUGCAACGAUUUUGCCAUCACGAAUACCAAUAUCAGCUUUUACAAUACCCCAAUAGUCCAGUAUCAACACAUUGGUAAUGACAAAAUCCAGCACAUUUUCAUUACUGCGUGGCGCUGUAGCGGAUUGUGCCAUUCCGUCUCGAAUA